AUAUGCCGAGAGGUGAAACGAAUUUCGCCUGGGGAUGAGCUCGCGUCUGAUUAGCUUGUUGGUAGGGUAACGGCCUACCAAGGCUUCGAUCAGUAGCUGGUCUGAGAGGACGAUCAGCCACACUGGGACUGAGACACGGCCCAGACUCCUACGGGAGGCAGCAGUGGGGAAUUUUCCGCAAUGGGCGCAAGCCUGACGGAGCAACGCCGCGUGAGGGAUGAAGGCCUUUGGGCUGUAAACCUCUUUUCUCAAGGAAGAAGAUCUGACGGUACUUGAGGAAUAAGCCACGGCUAAUUCCGUGCCAGCAGCCGCGGUAAUACGGGAGUGGCAAGCGUUAUCCGGAAUUAUUGGGCGUAAAGCGUCCGCAGGCGGCCGUUUAAGUCUGUUGUUAAAUCGUGGAGCUCAACUCCAUCACGGCAAUGGAAACUGUUCGGCUUGAGUAUGGUAGGGGCAGAGGGAAUUUCCGGUGUAGCGGUGAAAUGCGUAGAUAUCGGGAAGAACACCAGUGGCAAAAGCGCUCUGCUGGGCCAUUACUGACGCUCAUGGACGAAAGCCAGGGGAGCGAAAGGGAUUAGAUACCCCUGUAGUCCUGGCCGUAAACGAUGAACACUAGAUGUUGGGGGAAUCGACCCCUCCGGUGUCGUAGCUAACGCGUUAAGUGUUCCGCCUGGGGAGUACGCACGCAAGUGUGAAACUCAAAGGAAUUGACGGGGGCCCGCACAAGCGGUGGAGUAUGUGGUUUAAUUCGAUGCAACGCGAAGAACCUUACCAAGGCUUGACAUCCUGCGAAUCUCCAAGAAACUGGAGAGUGCCUUCGGGAACGCAGUGACAGGUGGUGCAUGGCUGUCGUCAGCUCGUGUCGUGAGAUGUUGGGUUAAGUCCCGCAACGAGCGCAACCCACGUUUUUAGUUGCCAGCAUUCAGUUGGGCACUCUAGAAAGACUGCCGGUGACAAACCGGAGGAAGGUGUGGACGACGUCAAGUCAUCAUGCCCCUUACGCCUUGGGCUACACACGUACUACAAUGCUGCGGACAAAGAGU
rnacentral:rRNA from 2 species